GUAAGGGAAUUCUGGUUACACAACAUCUACCAUCCCACUGCUCAUCAGGGUUCAGUUUGAUGAUCAAGCUGGCCAGGUGGAUGUUCCCAUCCUCCUGGGCCAUGGCAUGAGUGUUGUUCCAGAAGCUACACAUUAGAUUGAAGAUGACGCCUUUUCUGUGUAGAGGAGGAACUUCAUUUGGUUAAGUGCUUUGGAGUAGUCAUUCUUCCCACUACGACCCCCAAACAAGUGCUCCAUGCCCAUUCGUCCAGAAGGCUGGAGUGGUGAGAAGGAGUUGCAAGCCUAGGAAUGCUGAUAAACAGUUC
rnacentral:snRNA from 1 species